rnacentral:tRNA from 1 species
CAGGGAGACAACAAAAUGUUUAAUAUUAUUAUUUUGUCACCUUAGGUCGAUCGGUAUCUCACAUUCUUAAUUUAUUAAGGAUUUCAUUUUCUAAGUUUUUUCUAGGUCACACCCAUUAUUUUUCCUGGGCCAUUAGCUCAGGUGGUUAGAGCGCACCCCUGAUAAGGGUGAGGUCCCUGGUUCAAGUCCAGGAUGGCCCAUAUCUCUAUGUUGGGGGUAUAGCUCAGUUGGUAGAGCGCCUGCUUUGCAAGCAGGAUGUCAGCGGUUCGAGUCCGCUUACCUCCACUGAUUACCACCUCUUACAUAUUCUGAUAAAGGAAAUGUUUUGAGUUGUGAUCUAAUUCUGAACGAUUCUAGCUUCCUAAUGAAAUCAUUAAGAUGCUGGACUCAUUGAAUUAAUUUCAUUGUUUUCAGAGAACCUUGACAACUGCAUAGAUUAUUUUUAAAGACAAUAAGCAUCUUUAAUGAUGCAGAUUUAUUAUUUGUGCGAAUGCAUUAAAUAACAAUUCUAUUAAGCUGAUGCUUCAAUUAUUGAAGUUAUU